UAGGGAAUCUUCCACAAUGGACGAAAGUCUGAUGGAGCAACGCCGCGUGAGUGAAGAAGGGUUUUCGGCUCGUAAAACUCUGUUGUUAAAGAAGAACAUAUCUGAGAGUAACUGUUCAGGUAUUGACGGUAUUUAACCAGAAAGCCACGGCUAACUACGUGGCAG
rnacentral:rRNA from 1 species